rnacentral:lncRNA from 1 species
GCUUCAUGGUGUCAAGUGUGUUAGCAAAAUAUGCAAUAAUCAGAAGAAUAAAACAAAGAGUCAUUCUCGACAAUAAUGGCAUUUACUAAUGCAAACAUCUCAGUUUGGGGGGUUGAAAACUAGUGCCCCCAAGGUGAAAAUCUCAAAGAGUACCAGCGGUCCGGUGAGACCUGUCAGCCAGUCACCCAUCUUCUCCAGGCCCCCCAUCUUCUCCAGGCCCGAGUCCUCACUGGGUAGGUCCUCUGCUUUGGAGGUGAUCAACAGGGUGAUGGAGGACUCUAUUCAGCCCUCAUAGAGGCUCUACAUGUUCAGAGACCAGGACAAACAGACAGAGAGAGACCAUCCCAGGACUGGUGCAUCAUUUACAGACACAAGCGCUAUCUAAUCUUACCCUGGAGUUUGACUGUGGUGACCAAGAAGACCUCCCCAACACCCCAUCUCCAUCAGCUUUUGUGUUUGCAGGAUAAUUCACUGAGGAGCCAAACCAACAAAACCACUCUAAACAGCCCAACCGAGUCCGAGUGAAGGGGAAAGGAUGACCAGGGAGUUGAGGGAUAUUGUCAGUCAGUUUAUGCAGAAGCCAUCGGUAAGCUGCUCUGACAGCUGGUGCUUAAAGUUAGUGAGGGAGAUAUAAGAAUCCAGCUUCGUUCCAGUCAUUCGCAGCAGAGAACUGGAAGGAAAGGCAGCCAAAGGAAGUGUUGGCUUUGGGGCUGACCAGUGAAAUAUACCUGCUGGAGCACGUGCUAUGGGUGGGUGUUGCUAUGGUGACCAGUGAGCUGAGAUAAGGCGGGGAUUUACCGAGCAAAGACUUAGAUGACCUGGAGCCAGUGGGUUUGGCGACAAAUAUGUAGUGAGGGCCAGCCAAUGAGAGCACACAGGUCGCAG